CUGAGGGCUAAGGGCUGAGGGGCUGAUGGGGCUGAGGGCUGAGGGGCUGAGGGGCUGAGGGGGCAGAGGGGCUCAAGGGGCUGAGGGCUGAGGGGCUGGGGCUGAGGGGGCAGAGGGGCUCAAGGAGGCUGAGGGCUGAGGGGGUUGAGGGGGCUGAAGGGGCUGAGGGCUGAGGGGCUGAGGGGUUGAGGAGGCUGAGGGGCUGAAGGAGGCUGAGAGAUGAGAGGCUGAGAGCUGAGGGGCUGAGGGGGCUGAGAGGGCUGAGGGGCUGAGGGGGCUGAGAGGGCUGAGAGGCUGAGGGUUGAGGGGCUGAGGGGGCUGAGAGGGCUGAGGGGCUGAGGGCUGAGGGGGCUGAGAGGGCUGAGGGGCUGAGUGGUUGAGGGGGUUGAGGGGGCUGGGGGUCGGGGGGCUGAGGGCUGAGGGGCUGAGGGGUUGAGGAGGCUGAGGGCUGAGGGGCUGAGGGCCUGAGGGACUGAGGGCUGAGGGCUGAGGGGCUGAGGAGGCUGAGGGGGCUGAGGGCUGAGGGGUUGAGGGAGCUGAGGGCUGAGGAGCUGAGGGGUUGAAGGCUGAGGGGCUGAGGGCUGAGGGGUUGAAGGGGCUGACGGGCUAAGGGGCUGAAGGGGCUGAGGGAGCUGAGGGCUGAGGAGCUGAGGGGUUGAAGGCUGAGGGGCUGAGGGCUGAGGGGUCUGAGGGCUGAGGGGUUGAAGGGGCUGAGGGGCUGAGAGGCUGAAGGGGCUGAGGGGCUGAAGGAGGCUGAGGCUGGGGUAGGCCUGGAGAUGGGGUGGUCAGCCUGGGGGCUGCAGGGGUCUCCCAAGGCCUCCCUGUGGGUCUUUCGAGGGCACAGGCCCUGCUCCCGGAGGCUGGGAGUUCUGGCCGCAGGGCCUGUCCUUCAGUUACUAGGCUCCAGAGGUCGGUCCCAGCGCCUCAGACACCCACAUCCAGCAGGGACAGGGACAGCUCGCGGCUGGGAUAGCGUCAGCCCUGGGCCACGGCGGCUUGGCACCACAUCCCGUGACAGCUCUGUCUCCAGGCGUGCUCCCCAGCCCUGCCUGAAGAUGAACCCCAAGCCCUCGCCAGUGGCCAGGUAGGAACAAGGCCAGGAGCCCUGUGGAGAGGAGCAGGGGACCACUGCGUGGACGGGGCAGGCUGGGGCACAAAGGGCACUGCUUCCUCUGGAUAGCGCUAACUCCGAGAGCUCGGGCUCCUAUCCCUAGCCGGGGCGCCUGGCCUCCUGCAGUCGGGUCCCCAGCGGGUGAGCCGGGCGCAGGUGGACCUGACCGAGGAGGCGGCCGGAGCCCCUGCGGGUGAGGCGGGAGCGGCGAGCAGGAGGGCUGACUCAGAAGGUUUAUUUGCAGCGCUGGCGGGGCGGACAAUUGGCGGCCUCGGGGU
rnacentral:lncRNA from 10 species